GAAUGCUAAGCUCAUCGGGUCUGUGAACGUGUUUGAACAGCAGCCCAUAAACUGCUGAUCACAGCUUUAGCUCCAGAGGCAGUGACUGAAAUUAACUAGCAUCAGACUCCUCGGCGAUCCUCCCCAUCUCCUCCCUCUCCUCCUCACUGAGAGGUUACCCAUGGUGCAGAGUGCUCAUAAUGAGAACAUGCUGGAGAUGUUUUGAUGAGAUGGCCUUACUGCUCUGUGCAUGCAUGUGUGUGCCAGUGGGUGUUUCCGAACCCGAAGGUGUAUGUGUGUCUGUUCCUCUUCCUCUCUGUGUGACCCGCUGUUCCCAAGAAAGCUGACCUGACUGGGAAAACAAAAGCUGCACUCUUAUUGACCCAGUUCACACUGGUGCAUAAAUCUGAUUGGGCGACAGGUUCUUUUACCUCACACUUGUUGUAAAGAAUGUGCGGUCUGAGUUCAACUUGAAAGAAAGCGGAAAUAUUUUGUGAUCACUCUUAAAAGGGUCUUUGUUUAAUCUCAUACUAUGUCUAGAAGCAUGUUUGCCUAAAGUGGUCACAAAAGAGCAUUUGUAAUCCCUAGGAAUUCGAUGUCUUGCUCUCAUUGGACACGUCUUAUCUGGAUUCUGAUUUUAUGAGUCCAUUCUAACUGACAGCAUACCAGACAGUGACAGACAUAUUUGAAAAUUGAUUAACUUUUAUGUGUGAGAAGCACUCUGCUCACAAUGGACUUCGUCUUAUCCUUUGCAUUGCACAAGCACACCAUGUAACCCCCAGUUAAAAUUGCACUCUAGGUCAUGCUUCUCUUAAGAGCGCUGGUGACAAGUUCAUCUGGGAGACAAAUUAGGGCUGGAAGCAUAGGAGGAACUCUGUACACAUUUGAAAUUGUUCCCAUUCAGAGACAGGAUCAGAUUUGUUUCUUUUUGUUGUUGACCCCUUUUCUUAAUGGCAGUUCAACAUUUUCCUCAGUACAAACAAGAUAUGGCGACAUUGACGCAACCAAUGGUGUGAGUUUGCAGCAGGACUAUCCACUGGUGACCAAUGCUUGACAGGGAGUUGUUUAGGAAACCUGUUUGGAAUUGUCAAUAUUUUUGCAAAUCACUUUGGUGAUUGCCAAUUCACUUUUGCACCACUAGUGUCAGCAAACAAAAUUAGCAAUCUGUUUGGCUAAUGAGAGAGACUGCUGUAAUUGUUUUUGCAUUUUUGUUAGGUGCCACAUUGGCGCAGAUAUUAUGCACUUAUCAUUUAAUAACAGUGACGCCAGUGAUUUACUGUGAAUGAUCUGACUGCCAACAGACUGGCAGUGCUAUCAAAUAAAGACUGCAAAAGCAACA
ensembl:lncRNA